CAGAAACAAAGUUACAGUCAUGAAGUAGCAACAAAAAUAAUUUUAGGGCCAGGGGUCACCACAACACAAGGAACCGUAUUAAAGGGUCACAGCAUUAGGAAGGUUGAGAAGCACCGGUCUAGAGUGUCACUGGUGCUUCCUCCUUGGUCCCUGGAAAGUCCAGGGGCUGGGCCCUGGAGGUGGGGGCGGUGGGGCCGUAGAGGAAGCAGCUGGCCGUGUGGUUCACCUGCUGCCAUGGGUAAAGGGAGCCCCAGAGAUGGCUACAUGGUAGCUCUCUGCACACAGGCCCUGCUGUGUUCCACCUACUCGGGAAGAUAAGGAUCCUUCCAAUGUGUGGCAGGGUCUGGUGUCCAGAGUUGGGAGUCGAGAAUCUAGGGCUGCAGCUCAAAUCAAUUUUGCUUCCUACAUAGCUGUUGUCUGGUGCCCUGAGGAGAGGCCUGGCAGUGCUGGAGUUGCCCUUCCUACCCACAGAAACCUGCUCUGGCUGUCCUUCCUGGAGCUGAAGGGCUGGGAGGAGAUCUUUGUCUUCUCUGAGGGCUCUCUGCAGUGUUUACAAUGGUGAAGGAAGGGUCUGGCCAGGAUGUUGUAAACUCUUUUCCUACUGCUGCUCUGAGCUGGAAGGAACCUGGGCAAGAGGAUGCAUUGCUCAGGAGAUCUCAAAGGCCCCUUCCCUAAGGAACAGUUGUCUGUUAAGCCAGAAGAUGGGACCCUUUGGUCAGCCCCUAUGCACAAAAGCCAAGAUCAGCUUUGUGCAUGUGCAACCCCAGUGCAGGGAGACAGACACAGAAGGAUCACUGAGGCUUGCGGGCUAGCCAGCCCAGCUGAAAAAACUCCAAGCUCCAGGUUCAGUAGGAGGUCUUGUCUCAAAGGAUAAGGCAGAAACUGUAGAGUGGGAUACCCAACAUUGUCCUCUGGCCUGUGCAUGUGGGCAUACUGCUGUGUGCAUUUUCCCCAACACAUACAUACAUACAUUAAAACCCAAAAUCCAGUGGGGCAUGGGGGUGCACGCCUGUAAUCCCAGCACUCUGGGAGGCAGAGGCAGGCCGAUCUCUGUGAGUUGAAGGCCAGCCUGGUCUACAAAGUGAGUCCAGGACAGCCAGGGCUGUUACACAGAAAAAAAAAAAAAUAUGUGUGUGUGUGGGGACAACAACAUCAAAACAAAACAAUAAACAAACAAAAACCAGAA